GUAUGUACAUUGAAAGAGACAGAGGCUGGAUCAAAGUGAGAGGAAGACUGAACUUGUCUUUGCUUCUCAUCAUUGAGGACCAUAUUAUAAACAUUGCCAAGAGAAGGAGGAGGCUGCAUUAUCAAAAGAUUACUCCUGACCCCCAUAUAAGCUUCAUUCAGACCCAUUAAAAACUGAAAGACCUAAUUAUCAUCACAUUCCUGAACUAUACCAUCUUUUGCAGCACAUACACACCUUAAACCAUGAUUAGCACACGUAGAAUCAAGUUCAUCCCACAGACCUUUUAGCUUGUUGAAAUAAGAAGAUAUAUCUAAGGACCCUUGAGAGGUAUGGGACAACUCUCUUUUCAGUUCAAAAAUUUUGGUCCUAUUUGCAGUGCCAUAUCUGGUCUGGAGUUGGGACCAUAUGCUCUGUGCAGUGUCAUAGUACUGCACAAAUUCAGCAAUUGCAGGGGAAAUGGAAGCAGUCAACCAAGAAAUCACCAUGUUGUUGCACCUAUCCCACAACCUCUGUUGAGCCACAUUGGUGGUAGGUCGGGAGUAUGUGCCAUCAACAAAACUGAUUUUGUUUUUGGCUGAUAAGGAAACAGUCAUUUUACGUCUCCCGCCCGCAUAAAAACUACCUGAGAAGGUAGUGGGAACGAGAGAUACCCCAGGGACAUCAGAAGAAUAUACAAAAAGGGGACUGGAAGAGUCUAGAGAAGGGGAGGCACCAGUACUUGUGUUAGAACAGAAGAAUAUACAAAAAGGGGACUGGAAGAGUCUAGAGAAGAGGAGGCACCAGUACUUGUGUUAGAAGCCAUAGUCAAUUAACCGGCUUAAAUGAGCAACUUUUUCAACAAACAGAAUACAACCAAAACAGGUAUUCACAUACAACAACCAACAAACA
rnacentral:lncRNA from 1 species